AUUGAACGCUGGCGGCAGGCUUAACACAUGCAAGUCGAGCGGGGGAAGGUAGCUUGCUACUGGACCUAGCGGCGGACGGGUGAGUAAUGCUUAGGAAUCUGCCUAUUAGUGGGGGACAACAUCUCGAAAGGGAUGCUAAUACCGCAUACGUCCUACGGGAGAAAGCAGGGGAUCUUCGGACCUUGCGCUAAUAGAUGAGCCUAAGUCGGAUUAGCUAGUUGGUGGGGUAAAGGCCUACCAAGGCGACGAUCUGUAGCGGGUCUGAGAGGAUGAUCCGCCACACUGGGACUGAGACACGGCCCAGACUCCUACGGGAGGCAGCAGUGGGGAAUAUUGGACAAUGGGGGGAACCCUGAUCCAGCCAUGCCGCGUGUGUGAAGAAGGCCUUAUGGUUGUAAAGCACUUUAAGCGAGGAGGAGGCUACUUUAGUUAAUACCUAGAGAUAGUGGACGUUACUCGCAGAAUAAGCACCGGCUAACUCUGUGCCAGCAGCCGCGGUAAUACAGAGGGUGCGAGCGUUAAUCGGAUUUACUGGGCGUAAAGCGUGCGUAGGCGGCUUAUUAAGUCGGAUGUGAAAUCCCCGAGCUUAACUUGGGAAUUGCAUUCGAUACUGGUGAGCUAGAGUAUGGGAGAGGAUGGUAGAAUUCCAGGUGUAGCGGUGAAAUGCGUAGAGAUCUGGGAGGAAUACCGAUGGCGAAAGCAGCCAUCUGGCCCUAAUACUGACGC
rnacentral:rRNA from 1 species